rnacentral:rRNA from 1 species
UACGUAGGUGGCGAGCGUUGUCCGGAUUUACUGGGCGUAAAGGGAGCGUAGGCGGUCUUUUAAGUGGGGUGUGAAAUCCCUGGGCUUAACCCAGGAAUUGCAUUCCAUACUGGAAGACUAGAGUGCAGGAGAGGAAAGUGGAAUUCCAAGUGUAGCGGUGAAAUGCGUAGAGAUUUGGAGGAACACCGGUGGCGAAGGCGGGUCUCUGGGCCGAUACUGACGUUGAGGAGCGAAAGCGUGGGGAGCGAACAGG